CCUAACUGAUGAACAGAGGCCAAAGUAGUCAACAUAUGUGUGUUGAUUAUCAGUGUAUUGGUGCUGCAGGGCAAUGCCUAGGAAUUUAUGACAGUGUUAUCAUAUAAAUCACCUUUAUUUUAACAUUUCCAUCAUUUUAAUGAACUGAUAAAGUCUCUUGGAUGAAUGGAAAAACACGACUACAUAAAUCCAACUUAUUACCUCUAGAUUUUCAAUUCUCUGAUGACUGAAACGACAAAGACACACAGUGGUGCUAUUAAUUGCUUUAUUUUCUGACAAUAAUGCUUUAUACCGUAUGCUUGUUGUUAAUAGAGGAUGGGAAAAGAGCUUCCUGUAAAGCCUGAGAAGAGGCCCAGACUGAAGAAAAUGUCACAGAAAAGAAGAAACCUGGCCAGAGAUACUUCCAGUGCAUUUAUGUCCCGGGCAAAAAUGCACAAUACCCUCUACGACCUUUCACCCCAGCCAUGUCCCCCACCAUGUUGUCCCCUGCACUCCGGUCAAUGCUGGAGCAGAGAGCAGCCAGAGCGUCGGGACAAUAGGACGACAACUUCUCACCUCAUUUAAUCAACAGCACUGCAUCUCCCAGUCCAGCAGGGGGAGAUGUUUGAAUCUGUGGCAUCUUCGAAUAGAGAAGACAACCACAGACUCACAGAGAAAAGUGGACAGAACUAUUUCGUCUUUAAUUUAUUGAUGUAUUUUUUUUUUAAGUGGUUGAGCUCCUGGGGUUGAUAUUUCACAUUUUCCUUACUUGUUUAUGCUUUCUGUGUUUUGCCUCCACUACUUGCCACUGCCAUGCCUCGCUUGUGUCUUGGACAGAAAAUUCUGGCACCAUUUUGUGAAUAAUUUUAUAGUUAUAACAGCUAUAAUGUACAGAAUGAACAUGUUUAUAAUUUAGGAUGGGAUAAAGGGUCACAACUUUGCAUGUCAGUUUUUUGUUUUUCUCUCCACAACACCUUCUUUAAAAUGUAUUGCUAAUUUAAAGCAGUUUAAAUUUAGCUUAACUUUUAAAGGAACUUAUUUUCAAAUUCAGUACUAUUUGGAAUAUGGAAAAUAUCUUGCAUUGAAAUGUUAAUGGGGAAGUUUACUUUAUUAAAUUCUGAAAACAAAGAACUCCGAUUGAAUUUUAAUGGCAUUAAACAUCACUUCAAAUGGCAUGUUCUAUUGUUUUACUACACAAACCAUUAAAUCAAUGAAAAAUUUUGUAUUCAAACCCUAAUAUCAAAUUUCAUAACAUAAAAGAACUCUGGGUUGACAAGUUUCCACUGUGAUCUUUUAUUUGUCCCACCUUUUGAUUUUAAAACGUCAGAUUUUACUAUCUUGUAGCCUUGAAUUCCCUUGCCACUGCUUGUUUUUUCUGCUUUGCCACGUCUGCAACAGAUUAGCAUGCAAAUGUUGGAGGGUCAAAUCCCAGGGGCUCCCACAUUGAUCCCAGCUGCAUCCCUGUCUCUGAUGUGUCUCAUCAAUACAUAGGUGCAUGCUGAUGAGCGAUGAAACAUUCUCUUAGACGUGUCAGACUGCAUCUUGGCCAGUUCACCUUCACAGGUGAUGUUUAUUGCCAAUUAAAGCUACUUCUGUUAUUUUUGAUUAAAAAGAUAAAGAGGUAAAAGACAAGAUACAUGUAGAUACUUUAUAUACCGCACUGCACUGUGUGACACCAAUCAAAAUAUGGAUUAUAGGAACUAUAAAGGUUUACUUAGAUCCAGGAGGCACUGAAAAGACUUUUAUAGGCUUAUAAACAUAAACUCAGUGUAGCGUAGCUGCAAUACACAUACAUUUUUAAUAUGUAUGCAAAACCAUUAUGUUAAUGCCAGGUGUAAAUUCAGUCAAGAUUCUUGUGUGUGACCUGUAGGGAAUCAGCCUCCUCAGUAUGUUUUUAUAUUUAAUAAUACAUUAUUGCCUGACAAUACCAUUUAACGAGCAGGAUUGUCUGGAUUUUUUUCUCAAAAGCCAGAGAUUGCAAGAUUGUUAAAAAAAGAAAUGCAAUUCAUGGACAGUCAGUGUCUUCUAUUUUUGUUUUAUUCAUCCCAAAAAAUGUCAAACUACUUACGUUGACUCUGUCUAAGUCACAAAUAUCAGAUGUUUUAAGUCAACAUGUUCAGAGACAGGGAGUCGGUGCAGGAUAAGUUUGAUGUGACCAACUCAUGAGACGCUGUGAUGUUUGCUACAGUGAAUGAAUGUCAUUUGUGUUACUCAUCAGCGUAUUAAGUCUGAUACAUUGUCAUAUUUUCAUUUACCUCACUCAUUCAUAGCUCUGGUUUUGGGCCUCAGCAACAAGGCUGCCUUGUUGGUGCUACAAAACCUUUGCUGAGGAUUACCAGCAGUUUGCUGUUGUCGUCUUACCAAAUGGAAACCUGAUGCUAAGAGAACCAAAAGGUUUUUUUUUUUUUUUUUUUUUACAACAGGCAUAAUCCUGGGAUUCAAACACACAUGUGCCCAGAGUCUGCUGUAAUGUUCACUUGAUAUUAAGAGUUCAUUCAUUCUCAGCAGUAGCGGUAAUCUACUAAGUGAUAUUAUUUCAUUCAUGUUUGUAACACCAGUUUUGUCAGUUUCACUCUUUAAGUAACAUGAUGAAGCAGUGCAAGUCACUCAUACGUUGUAAUUUUAACCUAGUAAAACCUGGUGAACUGACUUACACCAGCUAUUGAACUGUAUACUGAAGUUUGAGGUAUGUCAGUUGUUAGUCUUUGUUGUGUUGCAGAUCUAUACACAACUUUACAGGGUUACCCUCAAAAAGUCAAACAGAAAGUGAAGUACAUUAUAGAGGUGAUGCAAAUCUAUAAAGAUGUGAGUGCAAACAAAAACAUGCAAAUUCCAUCUGUGCAACCUGAGGUGAAGAAGAAUCUUAUCCUUCAGCUGUAUGUCCCUGUUACGAGAGAAAUAGCAGAUAACUGAAGUUACUAUAGAGUCCUGACUGAAAUGAUGUUUACAGAGCUGCCUUUGUGUUUGUUGUCUGAUCAAAUCUCAGCUAGAUGUACUGAAAAUGUCAACCACGGUUCAGAUUUUUGAGUGUGAACUUUGGGUUGAAAAGUCCCAACUGAAAUGAGGUUAAGGCAGUUCUGGGUUUUCUGUUGCCGUGCAGGGUUUAGGUCAGCUGGCCUGAGAAAUACAAAUAUGAAGAGUUGUUUUAUGUCCAAAUGAGAUCUGACAACCAUUAGCAGUAGCAGCCUGCUGAGUGUAUAUGGAUACAGGAGUGACCUUUAAAACACACUUUAAAAUGUGGUGUUCAGGUGUGAAAGAGAUACUGUAGGUGGUUGUUUUUUAAAAGAAUCCUAUUCCAGCAGGGAGAUACAGCAGUAGUGUGGUUGUGCUGUCUGGAGGCCAUGAAGAUGUAUGAAAUUAACAGUCAGUAAUUGCAGGAUACAGCUGUAGCUGUAUGCUGUAAUUAUGUUUUUAAGUAUUAUUAGCAGUGAUUUAAUGUGACUUGAAGAGGGCUAUCUAUUAUCACAUGUAAACAAUGCAAACUAAAAGGAACAUGGUGCAAUCAGAGAUCAAUCUAAUAUGAUGUAAGUACAAAUUUUAUACAUAUUCAUGUGGACUGAAAGAUGGGAAACUGGGUUUAGCCUUAACUACUGUAUGUCUCUGAUUACAUGUUUUAAAUACGUGUUUGGAUGAUGCUGUUAAGAGCAAGUGAUCUGCUUUUACUUAUGCAUGCUUUGCUGAAAACUACCGUGUGACACUGUUAUCACUGUGUUUUACUUUGAUGUCUUGUCUACUUUUCUUUCAUUCUUUGAUUCUUCUUUGGUCAGUAGUUAUCUGAAACCACAAUUGCACAAAGACCCUGUCAUAGGUAUUGAUCUGCGUCUUCCGAGCAGAAAAAUGUUGAAUUGGUUUUCCAGUAGACAUUUUCUAAACCUUAUCCAGGAUUAGAAUGCUGUAUGAUGCUCUUAAAAGUCUGUUCAGUUGUGUAAUCGCUACAUAUUCCAGCUGAAUUAACAGCAUAAAUCUUCUUAUUGCCUGCUUCCUACUAACCAUUUGACCAACUAAACUACUUAAAGGUUUCCUGCUUAGUAAUUGAGCACUGAUGGGUUGCAAGGGCUACAUUUCAGGAAUCUGUUUCUUAACUGUGUCCAUCAGUGUACACAGAAAACUGCAAAUUCAAGCCAUAAGCAUGGAGUUAAAGACAUUUAUAUACUGAUUACUGCAGAGAACAAUGAUACAAAUAUAAGUAGCAAUGAAGGACAAAUACAUUUUAGCAAGUGUAGUGCACAGUGUACAUUAAAUGAACCUACAGUAGGAGAAAUGUAGCAAGCUAAGCUACACCAAUAUGGCAAAAUUAGUUACUAAAACAGAAUCAACUUUUUUAUUCGACUUUUUUUGUUCAAUUUUAUCAAUUUCCCAUUUACAGACUUUGUAAAACAUGUCGCUAGCUGGCAGUUAGACAGAAAUGCUUCAGAAAUCAUGGUGGAAAUGUAGGUUUUGUGGACGCUAACACUACUUGAUCAAAGAGCUGCACUUCUGAAAAGCUAUUUGAUUUAGAAAAUAGCAGGUGCUUAAAGAAAUUCAGUUAAACUAGUAAGCUAAUGUAUCUACUUGUAGCAAUGUUGCCGCCCAGCACUGAAAAACAGCAUGUUGAGGCGUUUAACAUAGAGCCAGGCUAGUUUUUUUUUUUUUUUUUAAAUUAUGUUUCCAGUAUCUAUGCUAAGCUAAACUAGCAACCUGCUGACUGUAGCUUCAUAUUGACCAGACACAUUUUAGAGUUAAUAUCAGCGCUGUCAAAUCUCUCUAUAAGGAGGGGAAUAAGUAUGUUUUCCCAAAUGACAAACUACACAAAGUCAUCUACACUUACUUGCGCAUACAAAGUGCCAGACAUAUUAUCUUAUUGCUCUGUUAAAUGUGGAUUGUCCAGACUGCUGAAUGCAGCAUAAACAGUCCAGUGAUCUUUUCUAAUGAAUGAGAUGGACGUGAGCAUGAUGGUUUGCAGUGAUUAAUAGACUGUCAAUGUAAAAUCAGCUCUGCUUCAUGUGUUUGCCACUUUAACACAGUAUGCUGCUGAGCAUCCAAAGAGGGAAAACAUGUCGUAAAAUAAUGCCAGCUGAUAUUACAGCUGCACAUGCUGCUUUGUAUCAUGUUUUGGCUUUUGUCAAGACCUUAGUUUUUUUUUUUAACCCUCUAAGGAAUAUUCAAAUGAUAUAAAACUAGGUUUAUGCUCCAUUCUGUUUUGAGGUUUCCUACCUGCUGCAGGAGCUACAGUUUCACAGAAAAGGUUUUACAAAAUGAUUUGGGUUCAAAACUUGCAGAGCAGUAACUUACUGUCCUCUUAAACCCAGUUUUCAUUUCAUAGUUUCUGAUGGUGACUCUCAGCAGUGCCAUAGAUAGCUAUCCUGGGAUUUUUGUCACUAAAACCUAUAGAAUCAGUCUGAAAACCUUCAGUCAGUGGAUGAUACGGUGAUUAGGUUGUAAUUACAGCAAUAAGAGUGAAUUAAUUGCUGGAAUUGGAAGGUGUAACGUAAUCUUAUCCACAAUACGUAAGGUUUGAGGUUGUGUGGUUCUGUUAGACGAUGAUGUAUUUAUUUUGUUAACAGUUUCUUCUGUUUUCUGCAUGAUAAUGUCAUUUGAACAAAGACUGCAACACAUUUUUGAGUUAUAUUUCACACAGUUUUAAUUCUCUUCCACAUAAAGAUCACCCUCCAGUGUAAAAUACAACCAACAACAGUCACUCAGAUGCUGUACAAAGACUGUAGAUAAUUUCAUUUGUUGCACUCUGGAGACUUAACACUUCGUUAGGUCUCACGCUGAAAGACAAAUUCAUACAGUGGUUUGUGCAGAAAAUGGAAUUUAUUUUAAUUAGAAAGGAUAUUUUUGUGUUGUUGUAGUUCAUCAGGCUGUAAUGUGGGCAGUAAUUUUAACUAUGUUCCAUUAAGAGACAGUAUGAACUACCUGUUCAUGUAUUAUAAAGCAGAGGUGUGUGAUGCAGUCACAUGAUAAAUCAGGAAGCCCAAGUCGGUCACAUUUCAGGAGCCAGUUAAAGGUCAUAAGUGACACUUCAGGCUGCUGAAACAUCACUCGAGGGACAAUACUGAAAAUGUCUGCUGUGUAAGAUGUAGAAUAUGUUCACCACAAUGCAGUUUUAGUGUCAUAAUUUGAAUAAAUAUUUGCAGAUAUUUGUGAGAGUGUUACUGUGUCUUUAUAUAUCUGGAAUAAUUCAUAUGGAAAGAAAUUUGUUGUGGGGGUGCAAAAGGAGGUUUAGUCUAGUCAUAUAUAGGUCUUGUACAUACAGUGCACCUACGAGUUCUCAGAUUUUCUCGUAAUGUUUGGAUUCACAGG
ensembl:lncRNA